GAUGAAGAACGUAGCGAAAUGCGAUAAGUAAUGCGAAUUGCAGAAUUCAGUGAAUCAUCGAAUCUUUGAACGCACAUUGCGCCCGCCAGUAUUCUGGCGGGCAUGCCUGUCUGAGCGUCGUUUCGACCCUCGCGCCCGGCUUCUGUCGGGGGCGGUGUUGGGGAUCGGCCACACCCUUCAGUGGGAGGCCGGCCCCUAAAUUCAGUGGCGACCACGCUGUAGCCUCCCCUGCGUAGUACUAAAACCACCUCGCAGGCGGAGAGCGGUGCGGCCCGCCGUAAAACCCCCCAACUAUUACAAGGUCGACCUCAGAUCAGGUAGGAAUACCCGCUGAACUUAAGCAUAUCAAUAAGCGGAGGA
rnacentral:misc_RNA from 1 species